rnacentral:tRNA from 1 species
GGUAGAAUGGCUGAGUUAUAGGCAAUAGAUUGUAAAUUUAUUUAGGAGGGGUAGCCUCUUCUACCA